rnacentral:rRNA from 1 species
GAUGAACGCUAGCGGCAGGCUUAAUACAUGCAAGUCGAGGGGUAGCAAGAUUGUAGCAAUACAAUUGUUGACGACCGGCAAACGGGUGCGGAACACGUACACAACCUUCCUACAAGUGGGGAAUAGCCCAGAGAAAUUUGGAUUAAUACCCCGUAACAUAGCGAUGUGGCAUCACAUUGCUAUUAUAGCUUCGGCGCUUGUUGAUGGGUGUGCGGCUGAUUAGAUAGUUGGCGGGGUAACGGCCCACCAAGUCUACGAUCAGUAGCUGAUGUGAGAGCAUGAUCAGCCACACGGGCACUGAGACACGGGCCCGACUCCUACGGGAGGCAGCAGUGGGGAAUAUUGGACAAUGGGCGGAAGCCUGAUCCAGCCAUGCCGCGUGUGUGAAGAAGGCCUUUUGGUUGUAAAGCACUUUAAGCGAGGAGGAGGCUACUAGUACUAAUACUACUGGAUAGUGGACGUUACUCGCAGAAUAAGCACCGGCUAACUCUGUGCCAGCCGCCGCCGUAAUAC